rnacentral:rRNA from 2 species
GGGUUGUGAGGUUAAGCGACUAAGCGUACACGGUGGAUGCCCUGGCAGUCAGAGGCGAUGAAGGACGUGCUAAUCUGCGAUAAGCGUCGGUAAGGUGAUAUGAACCGUUAUAACCGGCGAUUUCCGAAUGGGGAAACCCAGUGUGUUUCGACACACUAUCAUUAACUGAAUCCAUAGGUUAAUGAGGCGAACCGGGGGAACUGAAACAUCUAAGUACCCCGAGGAAAAGAAAUCAACCGAGAUUCCCCCAGUAGCGGCGAGCGAACGGGGAGGAGCCCAGAGCCUGAAUCAGUGUGUGUGUUAGUGGAAGCGUCUGGAAAGGCGCGCGAUACAGGGUGACAGCCCCGUACACAAAAAUGCACAUGCUGUGAGCUCGAUGAGUAGGGCGGGACACGUGGUAUCCUGUCUGAAUAUGGGGGGACCAUCCUCCAAGGCUAAAUACUCCUGACUGACCGAUAGUGAACCAGUACCGUGAGGGAAAGGCGAAAAGAACCCCGGCGAGGGGAGUGAAAAAGAACCUGAAACCGUGUACGUACAAGCAGUGGGAGCACAGAGCAAUCUGUGUGACUGCGUACCUUUUGUAUAAUGGGUCAGCGACUUAUAUUCUGUAGCAAGGUUAACCGAAUAGGGGAGCCGAAGGGAAACCGAGUCUUAACCGGGCGUUAAGUUGCAGGGUAUAGACCCGAAACCCGGUGAUCUAGCCAUGGGCAGGUUGAAGGUUGGGUAACACUAACUGGAGGACCGAACCGACUAAUGUUGAAAAAUUAGCGGAUGACUUGUGGCUGGGGGUGAAAGGCCAAUCAAACCGGGAGAUAGCUGGUUCUCCCCGAAAGCUAUUUAGGUAGCGCCUCGUGAAUUCAUCUCCGGGGGUAGAGCACUGUUUCGGCAAGGGGGUCAUCCCGACUUACCAACCCGAUGCAAACUGCGAAUACCGGAGAAUGUUAUCACGGGAGACACACGGCGGGUGCUAACGUCCGUCGUGAAGAGGGAAACAACCCAGACCGCCAGCUAAGGUCCCAAAGUCAUGGUUAAGUGGGAAACGAUGUGGGAAGGCCCAGACAGCCAGGAUGUUGGCUUAGAAGCAGCCAUCAUUUAAAGAAAGCGUAAUAGCUCACUGGUCGAGUCGGCCUGCGCGGAAGAUGUAACGGGGCUAAACCAUGCACCGAAGCUGCGGCAGCGACACUGUGUGUUGUUGGGUAGGGGAGCGUUCUGUAAGCCUGUGAAGGUGUGCUGUGAGGCAUGCUGGAGGUAUCAGAAGUGCGAAUGCUGACAUAAGUAACGAUAAAGCGGGUGAAAAGCCCGCUCGCCGGAAGACCAAGGGUUCCUGUCCAACGUUAAUCGGGGCAGGGUGAGUCGACCCCUAAGGCGAGGCCGAAAGGCGUAGUCGAUGGGAAACAGGUUAAUAUUCCUGUACUUGGUGUUACUGCGAAGGGGGGACGGAGAAGGCUAUGUUGGCCGGGCGACGGUUGUCCCGGUUUAAGCGUGUAGGCUGGUUUUCCAGGCAAAUCCGGAAAAUCAAGGCUGAGGCGUGAUGACGAGGCACUACGGUGCUGAAGCAACAAAUGCCCUGCUUCCAGGAAAAGCCUCUAAGCAUCAGGUAACAUCAAAUCGUACCCCAAACCGACACAGGUGGUCAGGUAGAGAAUACCAAGGCGCUUGAGAGAACUCGGGUGAAGGAACUAGGCAAAAUGGUGCCGUAACUUCGGGAGAAGGCACGCUGAUAUGUAGGUGAAGUCCCUCGCGGAUGGAGCUGAAAUCAGUCGAAGAUACCAGCUGGCUGCAACUGUUUAUUAAAAACACAGCACUGUGCAAACACGAAAGUGGACGUAUACGGUGUGACGCCUGCCCGGUGCCGGAAGGUUAAUUGAUGGGGUCAGCGCAAGCGAAGCUCUUGAUCGAAGCCCCGGUAAACGGCGGCCGUAACUAUAACGGUCCUAAGGUAGCGAAAUUCCUUGUCGGGUAAGUUCCGACCUGCACGAAUGGCGUAAUGAUGGCCAGGCUGUCUCCACCCGAGACUCAGUGAAAUUGAACUCGCUGUGAAGAUGCAGUGUACCCGCGGCAAGACGGAAAGACCCCGUGAACCUUUACUAUAGCUUGACACUGAACAUUGAGCCUUGAUGUGUAGGAUAGGUGGGAGGCUUUGAAGUGUGGACGCCAGUCUGCAUGGAGCCGACCUUGAAAUACCACCCUUUAAUGUUUGAUGUUCUAACGUGGACCCGUGAUCCGGGUUGCGGACAGUGUCUGGUGGGUAGUUUGACUGGGGCGGUCUCCUCCUAAAGAGUAACGGAGGAGCACGAAGGUUGGCUAAUCCUGGUCGGACAUCAGGAGGUUAGUGCAAUGGCAUAAGCCAGCUUGACUGCGAGCGUGACGGCGCGAGCAGGUGCGAAAGCAGGUCAUAGUGAUCCGGUGGUUCUGAAUGGAAGGGCCAUCGCUCAACGGAUAAAAGGUACUCCGGGGAUAACAGGCUGAUACCGCCCAAGAGUUCAUAUCGACGGCGGUGUUUGGCACCUCGAUGUCGGCUCAUCACAUCCUGGGGCUGAAGUAGGUCCCAAGGGUAUGGCUGUUCGCCAUUUAAAGUGGUACGCGAGCUGGGUUUAGAACGUCGUGAGACAGUUCGGUCCCUAUCUGCCGUGGGCGCUGGAGAACUGAGGGGGGCUGCUCCUAGUACGAGAGGACCGGAGUGGACGCAUCACUGGUGUUCGGGUUGUCAUGCCAAUGGCACUGCCCGGUAGCUAAAUGCGGAAGAGAUAAGUGCUGAAAGCAUCUAAGCACGAAACUUGCCCCGAGAUGAGUUCUCCCUGACCCUUUAAGGGUCCUGAAGGAACGUUGAAGACGACGACGUUGAUAGGCCGGGUGUGUAAGCGCAGCGAUGCGUUGAGCUAACCGGUACUAAUGAACCGUGAGGCUUAACCUUACAACGCCGAAGGUGUUU